CUUUCCUGUGGCUCAGUUGGUAGAGCGUUGUUUGAACAACUCAAAGGUUGUGGGUUCAAAUCCCAGGGAAAGA
rnacentral:tRNA from 1 species